UACGGGGGGGGUAAGCGUUGUUCGGAAUUACUGGGCGUAAAGGGCUCGUAGGCGGCCAACUAAGUCAUACGUGAAAUCCCUCAGCUUAACUGGGGAACUGCGUGUGAUACUGGAUGACUUGGAUUUGGGAGAGGGAUGCGGAAUUCCAGGUGUAGCGGUGAAAUGCGUAGAUAUCUGGAGGAACACCGGUGGCGAAGGCGGCAUCCUGGACCAAUAUUGACGCUGAGGAGCGAAAGCCAGGGGAGCAAACGGG
rnacentral:rRNA from 1 species